UGGGGAAUCUUCCGCAAUGGACGAAAGUCUGACGGAGCAACGCCGCGUGAGUGAUGACGGCCUUCGGGUUGUAAAGCUCUGUUAAUCGGGACGAAUGGUUCUUGUGCAAAUAGUGCGAGGAUUUGACGGUACCGGAAUAGAAAGCCACGGCUAACUACGUGCCAGCAGCCGCGGUAAUACGUAGGUGGCAAGCGUUGUCCGGAAUUAUUGGGCGUAAAGCGCGCGCAGGCGGAUUGGUCAGUCUGUCUUAAAAGUUCGGGGCUUAACCCCGUGAUGGGAUUGAAACUGCCAAUCUAGAGUAUCGGAGAGGAAAGUGGAAUUCCUAGUGUAGCGGUGAAAUGCGUAGAUAUUAGGAAGAACACCAGUGGCGAAGGCGACUUUCUGGACGAACACUGACGCUGAGGCGCGAAAGCCAGGGGAGCGAACGGG
rnacentral:rRNA from 1 species